GACGAACGCUGGCGGCGUGCCUAAUACAUGCAAGUCGAACGCAGUGGGGACGGGUGAGUAACACGUGGGUAACCUCCCCUCAGAGGGGAUAACACGUUGAAACAGGUGCUAAACCGAUACUGAUAGAGGACCACGCGGUGCAUUAGCUAGUUGGUGAGGUAACGUCUCACCACGGACACGAUUCAUAGGCGACCUGAGAUUGUGAUCGGCCACACUGGUACUGAGCGACGGCCCAGACUCCUACGGGAGGCAGCAGUAGGGAAUCGUCGGCAAUGGACGAAAGUCUGACCGAGCAACGCCGCGUGAGUGAAGAAGGUCUUCGGAUCGUAAAACUCUGUUGUUAGAGAAGCGGUAUCUAACCAGAAAGCCACGGCUAACUACGUGCCAGCAGCCGCGGUAAUUC
rnacentral:rRNA from 1 species